GCAGUCGAGCGGUAGGCUCCCGCAAGGGAGCCCUAGAGCGGCGAACGGGUGAGCUCAUUUGUGGAUAAUCUGCCUUUCGGUGGGGGAUAACGGCUGGAAACGGCCGCUAAUACCCCAUCCGGUUGUUCGGGCGUCAGCCCGGACAAAGAAAGGCGCUGCAAGGCGUCGCCGAAAGAUGAGUCCGCCCCCCAUUAGCUAGUUGGCGGGAUAAUAGCCCACCAAGGCGAUGAUGGGUAGCCGAGCUGAGAGGUUGAUCGGCCACACUGGAACUGAGACACGGUCCAGACACCUACAGGUGGCAGCAGUAGGGAAUAUUGGUCAAUGGGCGCAAGCCUGAACCAGCCAUGCCGCGUGAGUGAUGAAGGCCUUCGGGUCGUAAAACUCUUUUCUGCGGGAAGAACAUCCGGGAGAGGAAAUGCUCCCGGCUUGACGGUACCGCAGGAAUAAGCAACGGCUAACUCCGUGCCAGCAGCCGCGGUAAUACGGAGGUUGCAAGCGUUGUUCGGAAUAACUGGGCGUAAAGGGAGCGCAGGCGGUUGGGUAAGUCCAAAGUGAAAGCCCGGGGCUUAACCUCGGAAGUGCUUUGGAUACUGCCCUACUCGAGUUCGUGAGAGGAAAGCGGAAUUCCAGGUGUAGCGGUGAAAUGCGUAGAUAUCUGGAGGAACACCGGUGGCGAAAGCGGCUUUCUGGCGCGAUACUGACGCUGAGGCUCGAAAGCGUGGGGAGCGAACGGGAUUAGAUACCCCGGUAGUCCACGCCGUAAACGUUGUGCACUAGGUGUAGGAGGUAUCGACCCCUUCUG
rnacentral:rRNA from 1 species